CCUACGUGGGGCAGCAGUGAGGUAUAUUGGUCAAUGGACGAGAGUCUGAACCAGCCAAGUCGCGUGAAGGAUGACUGCCCAAUGGAUUGUAAACUUCUUUUAUAUGGGAAUAAAAUGUUCCACGUGUGCGCUGUUGUAUGUACCAUAUGAAUAAGGAUCGGCUAACUCCGUGCCAGCAGCCGCGGUAAUACGGAGGAUCCGAGCGUUAUCCGGAUUUAUUGGGUUUAAAGGGAGCGUCGGUGGAUUGUUAAGUCAGUUGUGAAAGUUUGCGGCUCAACCGUAAAAUUGCAGUUGAAACGGGCAGUCUUGAGUAGAGUAGAGGUGGGCGGAAUGCGUGGUGUAGCGGUGAAAUGCUUAGAUAUCACGAAGAACUCCGAUUGCGAAGGCAGCUCACUGGACUGCAACUGACACUGAGGCUCGAAAGUGUGGGUAUCAAACAGGAUUAGAUACCCGAGUAGUC
rnacentral:rRNA from 1 species